rnacentral:lncRNA from 1 species
UUUCUUCUUCAAAAACUGUAAGAGUCCAAAACUCACUGUGGAGAUAACAAAGGCUCCUCGCAGACAGAAGGCUGCAGUCAUUUCACCUGUAGAAUUCCAGCCAAAACCAGCCCACAGGACACAACCCACAAGAUUAGGGUAGUCGAGCAUCCUUUUUACCUGGACUGUAAUCUGAAAGAAAAAUAAGCUCCACUGAAAACAGAAUAUCCCUUUUUUCUCUGCAUCUGUCUGUUCUGGACUGUCCUGUCCUCAUCAACAGAGGAAAUCGGCUCCUGCAUGCCAGGAUGUCUUCAUGGCAGGGGCUGGAGACACGGAGAUGAAACUCGGAUUGUGUUUAGAUGAGUCGUGAAGACAGACCCACACCUCGGCCAUUAAAAUACAAUGGAAUCGGUGCCAUGAUAAUUCUGUGCUAUGCAGGUAGCACAGAGACCAGUGUCUGGAACCAGCAUGCAUAAAAGAGGACUUCUUGAAUGAGAGAAGAAUGAGUGGAUUGAAGAUCUUGAUAAGGGGAGAGGGGAGAUACUGGUGACCCUUCGAAACAUCACCAACAUUUGAAACUAUGCCAAGACCUUAAACAACUUUGCUGUAAGCAUCUCUAAGUGUAUGUACCAGUUUC